ACUGGAAGUGGACGAAUGUUGGAUUGGGGAGGUAAAUAAAACACUCAGAUUUAAUCAGUAAGACAUGGCUAAUUUUGAUAGGAGAUAGCGAAUUCGCCAAUGAAUCGUCUUUGAAGUUUUGAUAGGGGCUUCAGUCAACACUCAACUCUACCGUUUGAAUAGCUCUAUGCUCCACUACUGCUUGCCAUGACAUUGGUCAAACGUGACCCAGCCGUAAUCACCGCUCCUGGACGGUGACCUGACCUGGGUCACGCUAGUUGACCCAGUUAUGGCCGAACCAAUCACCGAACCAUACACCGCUGCCACCUCCAGCAGUUUCAUCACAGUGGCGGCAGAGGCAGCCACCGACUCCGCCGACCUCCUCGAAUACAGGUCCAGUGGUGACGUCAGACACUGGCGAGGUGAUGACGUCAUCAGUUGGUCUGAUGAAGAAAACGGCGGGGCAGUGUCUGGUGAAAGUGACGUCACACAAGUCAGUGAGAAGCGCGGUGGGUUAGAUGACAAAACUGAGCAGAAAAAUGAUAGAUACGUUACCGAUUCUCAGGACAGCAGCGAUGACGCUAAGCACGGCAGUGAAUCCACGUCACAAAGUCGCCACAAGGUCUCAGAAAGUAUUAACCAGGUUUCUUCUGAAUCUCGCCUCAGCUCGACUUGGCAGAUACCAAGUGAAAGUCCAAGGCUAGCAACAAGCAACCCUACUAUUGAACUCCUCCUAACCGCCAAGCCUUUAGAGUUAGAAACUGUGGAAGGUGACGGUAGUCUGGAGACUGGCAGUGGACUAUCCACAGUGGACGAGGUGGACGCUGUCCACCCCCGCCUCUCCUCCGGCAGCGCUCGUCGCCGGCCCUCCCAUCCUGCCUUCGUUUGUGACACGUGUUCCCGCGAUACGGCAGGCUGGCAGGACUGUGUGGACCACGCCUAUCGCUCCGGACAUGGCCUGGCCGCGCGCUGUGCCCUCUGCCGUCUACCAGCCGUGCGAUGUCGCAGAAAGGGUCGGCCUGGAGUUUGGCAUCGCUGUGUGGUGACCGACACAGUUCGGAAGAUGGGCGUGGGCAAUGUGGCUGCCUUGAUGGCUGGGUCGCAUCUGACUGCGCCAAGACCGUGGAGGUUGAGCUGUGGCGAAUGUGGCGCAGCGUUUGCGGCGAAGACGGCGCGACUGGUGCGUCACGUUAUAGAGCGAGGACAUUCAGUGGAGAGGCAUUGCGAGAAGUGUUUGUUUCCCGUGUUUGUGUUUGCGCUCAAUGAUGAACGCAGGGAGAUGCAUGUUUGUGUGGGGAACUCUGCCUGGCUGAGGAAGGAGGAAGAGGCUCUGCUCGCCACAGCAGGGGACGAUGCGCGGUACCUGACGCACUUCAGCGAGAACGGCGAGGAGAGAGGGCAGGGACAAAGGCAGAACGGAGGAACACCAACCCAUCACCAUCGUCACCACCACCGCCACAGUCACACGGGACUCGAUCACCAUCACGAGCACCAAAACGGCGGCAUCUGCCGUCGUUCUCAAGGCACUACUUCCAGUUACCAUCAGAGUAGUCCGACCAAGACUUCCAACGGUAGUCCGUCAUCUCACAACCAUCAAACCAGCAUCAUCACCGACAACGGCGGCAGUGGUGACGGCGGGAUGGGUGGCGUGGGACACUCUAGUGUUCCCCUCUCUGGCGGGAAGCUCGUGGUACCUCUCACGGCCGGUACGGAUCGCCGCUGGCCUGAGGAGCGAACGGCAUCCUGUGUGGCGAUUUGAACCCGAAAAGUCGUCUCGUAAUAUUUAGCGAGGUGAGUUUGGGGUGACGGGGUCGAAAUGGGCCUGGGGAGGCUCCGUGCUGAAGGGCGAUACCCUGCAUCCCUCGGGGUGACAUCUACAUUCUACAGGGUGAAGUUGAAGACACUGUUCGAGAUGUGUUUCCAAGGCAGCUAUCCCCGUAGCAAAUUACUGUCACAAACUCCCAGCCGCGUCUUCCUAUAGUGCAACCCUGCAUAUCACCCGUAUAAGGUCCAGUUUAGAGCGUGAAUACGGUCACAGAGUGUGUUGGAUGAAGGGUUUUUGCUUUUGUUGUAGGUAUCAGGGAAAUGUCACGAUCAGGUUAUGUCAUGGUCAGAUUUUUGGUGCGUGUGUCGAGAUGUUUUUGGGAAACGUGUCGGAGUUGUUUGGUGCAAUAGCGAGGCGAGGGUAGUUAGUCAACACAUGCAUCAGUUUUAAUUCGCCAUCUUAUACCAAUUUCUACAAGCUCAUUUGGUCAUUUUGCUAAAGCUAUUUUUGAAACGCAAUGUCAAUUGUCAAACAUUCUUGUUGAAAAAAGUAAUUACGAAUCUACCAACAGCUUUACUUCUUAGUUGUUCGGUAUUCACUGCUGAAUAUGGUAUAAAGUUACCAUUAUGGACGGUGGUGAAGUUACUUGCUCUCAUGGGUACUUAACUGUUAAUUUUGUUCUUGGUUAGGGUUCUGGGCUUUGUCAGUUGCACCAAAUGUUAAAGAGCCAUCUCUUUGAUGCUGCCGGACUUGUUUCAAAUUAUUAACAUUACCCCAACCAACAGCCAAAUGUAGCAAUUUAGUUCACAAUGUAAUCGAUGUCUCAAAGCUGUACCCUGUUAUUUGUACCGCUAGCUCCGUCUACACACGUCAAUGGCUGCGGUAGUAAAUAAAAAUAUAUGCAAGCUGCGUACCUGUUGACAUCCCAAAUAUCGGGCUGCUCUCAAGAAGCGUGUAUGAAUAUUGUAAUAGGAUGUGCGUAGUGCCAAGUAUGUAGUUGUUCUAUUUGUAGCUAUUUAUCGGACAAGGGCUUUCUUCCUAGCUUCUAGUAGUCGGCAUGAAUGUAGUGAUAGUGCUAGAGCAUAUGCUUGCCAGAAUUGCAAAUGCACAUUGUUACGGCACGUAUGUCGCUUAUGUCAGGAAAGUUUCUGUUAUUGGUUCUGGGAAGUGUUUUUGGGCCAGUGAGACAUAAGUUGCUUUAGGUGACUGUUUCUGAAAUCAUGGAGUGUUUUCGUUUCUGAAAUUUGUAUAACUCUUGUACCUGGUUUGGUGGGCUAUUUUGAUUUGCUCAAUGUUAAUUGUUGGCCUAUUUUUCGUGUGCUUAUCGUUAUCGGUUUGUUUUAUAACCUACACAACAGCGUGCCAGUUAAUAACGAAAUGACACGUAAGCCUUGGUGGAACUGUAUCUAUGCAAACAUAUCGCACUUGCGCUCUUCGGACUGUUGAGCACCUGUUGUCUUCCCGCCAGUUAUCACGAAAUGUUGGAACUAUGCGAUACGUUUUCGCCUUUCCCAUGCUUCUUUUUACUCAUGCCGCACAUCUUUUCAGUCACUUCUGUCCGUUCAUCUUCUGAACUUAUUUAUUGCUUCACAUCCAUCGUAAUGAUUGGUCCCUUCUUUCGAAUGUAAUAGACAAUGGACAUAUUUGACAACUAAUGUGUACACAGCAUACGGAUUAAACAACCACAAAGGUACACUGGUGGUAAAUAUACGUUGAAGGUUA